rnacentral:rRNA from 1 species
AUUGAACGCUGGCGGAAUGCUUUACACAUGCAAGUCGAACGGCAGCACGGACUUCGGUCUGGUGGCGAGUGGCGAACGGGUGAGUAAUGUAUCGGAACGUGCCCAGUCGUGGGGGAUAACGUAGUGAAAAUUACGCUAAUACCGCGUACGAUCUAUGGAAGAAAGCGGGGGAUCGCAAGACCUCGAGCGAUUGGAGCGGCCGAUAUCAGAUUAGGUAGUUGGUGGGGUAAAGGCCCACCAAGCCAACGAUCUGUAGCUGGUCUGAGAGGACGACCAGCCACACUGGAACUGAGACACGGUCCAGACUCCUACGGGAGGCAGCAGUGGGGAAUUUUGGACAAUGGGCGAAAGCCUGAUCCAGCCAUUCCGCGUGCAGGAUGAAGGCCCUCGGGUUGUAAACUGCUUUUGUACAGAACGAAAAGGUUUCUACUAAUACUAGGAGCUCAUGACGGUACUGUAAGAAUAAGCACCGGCUAACUACGUGCCAGCCGCCGCCGUAA